rnacentral:lncRNA from 1 species
CCGGUCCUCCAGGUCCACUCUCCCGCGCAGCUCCCCCGCUCCUUCCUCGCAGUCCUAAAAUCCUUUCUUCCCUCCCAUGAGCGCAGGAAGAAGAGGAUGCAUACGAAGUAAGGCUUUGGCUUUCCUCUCCUCCAAGUUCUUCCAGCAUGAGGUAAGCUCCUGCCUGGUUCUAAACAUGGUGAUUUGUAUCCUUCGAUCUGACCACUGUACAUGCGUUAGUUAGGCUGGAUGGAGUAGGAUUAGUUAGUGGAUCGGAUGCCAGAUGCGUGGAUGUGUGUUUGGGGGUUGCAAUCAGUCAGAUUUGUACUGUACUACUUCUGCUUGAACUCUAAAAUUCAGUAAGGUUGGGGUUCCUUGCUCUGUUGAAUUCUUCUGUGUGUAAAAGGGGGACCGAGUGAUCCAGAUGACAUAUCUUAAUUUUUGUGCUGUGAUUGAAUUGCAGUUGCUCGGUACUGUGAGAACGUGGAGAUGUGCAGGCUCACAGAGUGGAUAAGUUGUAGAUUGUGUAUGGAUAAGUAAGAUAUGUGGCUGCUAGGUGCAGGUUUGUAAUUUUGUUUUAAUUGUAGGGACAUGUAGGUCCUUUAUUUGUAUUUCGGGCUCUUGUACUAAUGUUCAGGGCAGUGGAAAUCUUGUAUAAUAAUCCGUACGUAGUUGAGACUAACAACAGAACGAUGACAUGUUUGUUUUUGGGCAAGAAUUUAUCAUGGGGUGUGGGUGGUAAAGGAAUAAAGAAGGUUGAUAUUCUUUUAAUCUUUCUAAUUCAUUCUACCACAGUUAUAUGGAAUGCUCUACUUCCAAAUAGUUACAUGGAAAUGUCCACUGUCCAUACACAAUGAACUCCAACUUUCUCCAAAUAUUGUAUAUUAACCCAAGAUGAUUUUUAUUUCAUCUAAAUGAUUUUAUAG